CACAUGGUCUGAAGAUUCCCAAUCUAUACUUUAAAAGCAAACAAAACAACGAUAGAGUUUAAUCUACAGCUUCAAGGGCUAAAAGAGCAUCAAGCAAUGGUCUUUCGUGCAGUAUUGUCGAUUUUGCUCAUCACAUAUGGUUUGUGCAUGCUGGCUGAGAGGACACAGGGGAGUUUCCUUCAUUUUUUCUCACACAGCGAUGCUUGUAAUAUGCAGAAGGGGGGUCCAUGCAAAAAGUUCUUGCAGCAAAGAUCAGAAGGAGGAGACCUACGAAGUGUUGGAGAUCUGGAAGAAGGAGAUGUCAUAAAGUUAAAGGCCCCUGCUGAGCUUGAACUUAGGCUGGAUUCACAACAGAUCGAUAACUACAGAAAUUUUGUUGAAGAACUUUUUGGUGGAGAAGCUCCUAAAUCCUAAUGUACUAUUUGAUCGCCUGCAUCUUGUUUAAACCACAUAAUAAAAAUGAAAGCCAUUCUCAUUUUAGAUAAGCAAACUUAAUAAAUAUAUGGAAAAUAUA